rnacentral:rRNA from 1 species
GACGAACGCUGGCGGCGUGCUUAACACAUGCAAGUCGAACGAAGAGCGAUGGAAGCUUGCUUCUAUCAAUCUUAGUGGCGAACGGGUGAGUAACGCGUAAUCAACCUGCCCUUCAGAGGGGGACAACAGUUGGAAACGACUGCUAAUACCGCAUACGAUCUAAACUCGGCAUCGAGGAUAGAUGAAAGGUGGCCUCUACAUGUAAGCUAUCACUGAAGGAGGGGAUUGCGUCUGAUUAGCUAGUUGGAGGGGUAACGGCCCACCAAGGCGAUGAUCAGUAGCCGGUCUGAGAGGAUGAACGGCCACAUUGGGACUGAGACACGGCCCAGCCUCCUACGGGAGGCAGCAGUGGGGAAUCUUCCGCAAUGGACGAAAGUCUGACGGAGCAACGCCGCGUGAGUGAUGACGGCCUUCGGGUUGUAAAGCUCUGUUAAUCGGGACGAAAGGCCUUCUUGCGAAUAGUGAGAAGGAUUGACGGUACCGGAAUAGAAAGCCACGGCUAACUACGUG